GUACACUCCUGCGGGAGGCAGCAGUGGGGAAUAUUGGACAAUGGGCGCAAGCCUGAUCCAGCCAUGCCGCGUGAGUGAUGAAGGCCCUAGGGUUGUAAAGCUCUUUCACCGGUGAAGAUAAUGACGGUAACCGGAGAAGAAGCCCCGGCUAACUUCGUGCCAGCAGCCGCGGUAAUACGAAGGGGGCUAGCGUUGUUCGGAUUUACUGGGCGUAAAGCGCACGUAGGCGGACUAUUAAGUCAGGGGUGAAAUCCCGGGGCUCAACCCCGGAACUGCCUUUGAUACUGGUAGUCUUGAGUGCGAGAGAGGUGAGUGGAAUUCCGAGUGUAGAGGUGAAAUUCGUAGAUAUUCGGAGGAACACCAGUGGCGAAGGCGGCUCACUGGCUCGAUACUGACGCUGAGGUGCGAAAGCGUGGGGAGCAAACAGGAUUAGAUACCCUUGUAGUUCCAU
rnacentral:rRNA from 1 species